rnacentral:rRNA from 1 species
CGGCGUGCCUAAUACAUGCAAGUCGAGCGAGCGGAACUAACAGAUUUACUUCGGUAAUGACGUUAGGAAAGCGAGCGGCGGAUGGGUGAGUAACACGUGGGGAACCUGCCCCAUAGUCUGGGAUACCACUUGGAAACAGGUGCUAAUACCGGAUAAGAAAGCAGAUCGCAUGAUCAGCUUUUAAAAGGCGGCGUAAGCUGUCGCUAUGGGAUGGCCCCGCGGUGCAUUAGCUAGUUGGUAAGGUAAAGGCUUACCAAGGCGAUGAUGCAUAGCCGAGUUGAGAGACUGAUCGGCCACAUUGGGACUGAGACACGGCCCAAACUCCUACGGGAGGCAGCAGUAGGGAAUCUUCCACAAUGGACGCAAGUCUGAUGGAGCAACGCCGCGUGAGUGAAGAAGGUUUUCGGAUCGUAAAGCUCUGUUGUUGGUGAAGAAGGAUAGAGGUAGUAACUGGCCUUUAUUUGACGGUAAUCAACCAGAAAGUCACGGCUAACUACGUGCCAGCAGCCGCGGUAAUACGUAGGUGGCAAGCGUUGUCCGGAUUUAUUGGGCGUAAAGCGAGCGCAGGCGGAAGAAUAAGUCUGAUGUGAAAGCCCUCGGCUUAACCGAGGAACUGCAUCGGAAACUGUUUUUCUUGAGUGCAGAAGAGGAGAGUGGAACUCCAUGUGUAGCGGUGGAAUGCGUAGAUAUAUGGAAGAACACCAGUGGCGAAGGCGGCUCUCUGGUCUGCAACUGACGCUGAGGCUCGAAAGCAUGGGUAGCGAACAGGAUUAGAUACCCUGGUAGUCCAUGCCGUAAACGAUGAGUGCUAAGUGUUGGGAGGUUUCCGCCUCUCAGUGCUGCAGCUAACGCAUUAAGCACUCCGCCUGGGGAGUACGACCGCAAGGUUGAAACUCAAAGGAAUUGACGGGGGCCCGCACAAGCGGUGGAGCAUGUGGUUUAAUUCGAAGCAACGCGAAGAACCUUACCAGGUCUUGACAUCUAGUGUCAUUUGUAGAGAUACAAAGUUCCCUUCGGGGACGCUAAGACAGGUGGUGCAUGGCUGUCGUCAGCUCGUGUCGUGAGAUGUUGGGUUAAGUCCCGCAACGAGCGCAACCCUUGUUAUUAGUUGCCAGCAUUAAGUUGGGCACUCUAAUGAGACUGCCGGUGACAAACCGGAGGAAGGUGGGGAUGACGUCAAGUCAUCAUGCCCCUUAUGACCUGGGCUACACACGUGCUACAAUGGGCAGUACAACGAGAAGCGAGCCUGCGAAGGCAAGCGAAUCUCUGAAAGCUGUUCUCAGUUCGGACUGCAGUCUGCAACUCGACUGCACGAAGCUGGAAUCGCUAGUAAUCGCGGAUCAGCACGCCGCGGUGAAUACGUUCCCGGGCCUUGUACACACCGCCCGUCACACCAUGGGAGUCUGCAAUGCCCAAAGCCGGUGGCCUAACCUUCGGGAAGGAGCCGUCUAAGGCAGGGCAGAUGACUGGGGUGAAGU